rnacentral:lncRNA from 1 species
GUUCAGUCCUACCCUUCUGAAGAGGAUCUAGCAGAAGUGAGGAGUGCCUCUGCCCGGCUGCCCCAAAUGGGAAGUGAGGUGUGCCUCUGCCUGGCCACCCCAUCUGGGAAGUGAGGAGCACCUCUGCCCGGCCACCCCGUCUGGGAUGUGAGGAGCGCCUCUGCCCAGCCGCCACCCCGUCUAGGAAGUGAGAAGCGCCUCUGCCCGGUCGCCCCGUCUGGGAGGUGAGGAGCGCCUCUGCCUGGCAGCCGCCCUGUCUGGGAUGUGAGGAGCGCCUUUGCCCAGCCGCCACCCGAUCUGGGAUGUGAGGAGCGCCUCUGCCCGGCCGCCCCGUCUGAGAGGUGAGGAGCGCCUCUGCCUGGCAGCCGCCCUGUCUGGGAGGUGGGGAGUGCCUCUGCCCGGCCGCCCCGUCUGGGAGGUGGGGAGUGCCUCUGCCCGGCCGCCACACCGUCUGGGAGGUGAGGAGCGCCUCUACCUGGCAGCCCCGUCUGGGAACUGAGGAGCGCCUCUGCACGGCCGCCACCCUGUCUGCGAAGUGGGGAGCACCUCCACACGGCCGCCCUGUCUGGGAUGUGGGGAGUGCCUCUGCCCGGCCGCCCCGUCUGGGAGGUGGGGAGUGCCUCUGCCCGGCCGCCACACCGUCUGGGAGGUGAGGAGCGCCUCUACCUGGCAGCCCCAUCUGGGAACUGAGGAGCGCCUCUGCACGGCCGCCACCCUGUCUGCGAAGUGGGGAGCGCCUCCACCCGGCCGCCCUGUCUGGGAUGUGAGGAGCGCCUCUGCCCGGACACCACCCCAUCUGGGAGGUGAGGAGCACCUCUGCCUGGCUGCCCCGUCUGGGAACUGAGGAGCACCUCUGCCUGGCUGCCCCGUCUGGGAAGUGAGGAGCACCUCUGCCCAGCUGCCCCAUCUGGGAGGUGUACCCAACAGCUCCAAAGAGACAGCGACCAUCGAGAAUGGGCCAUGAUGACGAUGGCGGUUUUGUCGAAAAGCAAAGGGGGAAAUGCAGGGAAAAGAAAGAGAGAUCAGAUUGUUACUGUG